UGUGAGCGUAUACCAAAGUUGUUGCAGUUAAAACGCUCGUAGUCGGAAUUUGGCAGUUCCGGAUGUGUGCACGUCGUGUGCGCACUUCGCGGGGAUUGCUUUUGUGGUCUUGCGUAGGAUGAGGCACUUUUAUUAGUGAACGUCCUCACGCAACCACUUUUUACUGUGAGAAAAUCAGAGUGCUCAAAGCAGGCAUUUGCCGUGAAUGUAUUAGCAUGGAAUAAUAGAAUAGGACUUGGUUCUAUUUUGUUGGUUUGUUGGGACUGAGUAAUGAUUAAGAGGGACAGUUGGGGGCAUUUGUAUUUCGGUGCUAGAGGUGAAAUUCUUAGAUUACCGAAAGACAAACUGCUGCGAAAGCGUCUGCCAAGGAUGUUUUCAUUGA
rnacentral:rRNA from 1 species